GCCGGUCUAGUAUAGUGGUUAGUACAGUUCGUUGUGGCCGAACAAACCCAGGUUCGAUUCCUGGGGCCGGCA
rfam:Candida auris strain 6684 Scaffold20, whole genome shotgun sequence.